GCCAUCGCUCAACGGAUAAAAGGUACUCCGGGGAUAACAGGCUGAUACCGCCCAAGAGUUCAUAUCGACGGCGGUGUUUGGCACCUCGAUGUCGGCUCAGUCACAUCCUGGGGCUGAAGUAGGUCCCAAGGGUAUGGCUGUUCGCCAUUUAAAGUGGUACGCGAGCUGGGUUUAGACGUCGUGAGACAGUUCGGUCCCUAUCUGCCGUGGGCGCUGGAGAAUUGAGGGGGGCUGCUCCUAGUACGAGAGGACCGGAGUGGACGCAUCACUGGUGUUCGGGUUGUCAUGCCAAUGGCACUGCCCGGUAGCUAAAUGCGGAAGAGAUAAGUGCUGAAAGCAUCUAAGCACGAAACUUGCCCCGAGAUGAGUUCUCCCUGAGACUUUAAGUCUCCUGAAG
rnacentral:rRNA from 1 species